rnacentral:rRNA from 1 species
GUAGGGUGCGAGCGUUAAUCGGAAUUACUGGGCGUAAAGCGUGCGCAGGCGGUUAUGUAAGACAGAUGUGAAAUCCCCGGGGCUCAACCUGGGAACUGCAUUUGUGACUGCAUGGCUAGAGUACGGUAGAGGGGGAUGGAAUUCCGCGUGUAGCAGUGAAAUGCGUAGAUAUGCGGAGGAACACCGAUGGCGAAGGCAAUCCCCUGGACCUGUACUGACGCUCAUGCACGAAAGCGUGGGGAGCAAACAGGAUUAGAUACCCUGGUAGUCCACGCCCUAAACGAUGUCAACUGGUUGUUGGGAAUUAGUUUUCUCAGUAACGAAGCUAACGCGUGAAGUUGACCGCCUGGGGAGUACGGCCGCAAGGUUG